rnacentral:lncRNA from 1 species
AUGGAGAGAGAAGCGCAUCAGAAGCGGCAGAACCCGCGCCCAGCGGUGCUGAGCGUCUUCUCGUCUCUAUGUUCCGUGGCGUCCAUGGCGUUUUGCGUGUUUCUGAGUAUCAACACGUCUGAUGUCACCCGCCGGAUUGUGGAUUUGGAGAGUAGAAUCGGCGAGCCCAAUUUGAUCCGUCCUGUGGGCUACUCGGUGGAUGAUUUUAACAUAUUGAUUCGAGACAGAGUGGACGAGCUGCUGUCACAGCGCUCCUAUGAAAACCUUGCGAAGAUUCGGAUUGCACGCCAAGCGGACACCACGGAGUGCAACUGCCCCCCAGGUCCACCGGGAAAGCGAGGAAGACGAGGCCGAAACGGAGAACCCGGUAUGUACCAGUGUUUGUUUUCACGAGAACCACAAGAUGGACCUCGCUGUAAUCAGGCUGAAGCAAUAAUAGAGCUACAGAACCGGAGUAAUUGAUACAUGGGAGCCUUCAAACGCGGACAGCCUCUGAGGGCCAAAGCCAGCGCUGG